rnacentral:rRNA from 1 species
UGGGGAAUUUUGGACAAUGGGCGAAAGCCUGAUCCAGCAAUGCCGCGUGUGUGAAGAAGGCCUUCGGGUUGUAAAGCACUUUUGUCCGGAAAGAAAUCCUUGGCUCUAAUACAGUCGGGGGAUGACGGUACCGGAAGAAUAAGCACCGGCUAACUACGUGCCAGCAGCCGCGGUAAUACGUAGGGUGCAAGCGUUAAUCGGAAUUACUGGGCGUAAAGCGUGCGCAGGCGGUUUGCUAAGACCGAUGUGAAAUCCCCGGGCUCAACCUGGGAACUGCAUUGGUGACUGGCAGGCUAGAGUAUGGCAGAGGGGGGUAGAAUUCCACGUGUAGCAGUGAAAUGCGUAGAGAUGUGGAGGAAUACCGAUGGCGAAGGCAGCCCCCUGGGCCAAUACUGACGCUCAUGCACGAAAGCGUGGGGAGCAAACAGGAUUAGAUACCCUGGUAGUCCACGCCCUAAAACGAUGUCAACUAGUUGUUGGGGAUUCAUUUCCUUAGUAACGUAGCUAACGCGUGAAGUUGACCGCCUGGGGAGUACGGUCGCAAGAUUAAAACUCAAAUGAAUUGACGGGGUC